rnacentral:rRNA from 1 species
UACGUAGGCAGCGAGCGUUGUUCGGAGUUACUGGGCGUAAAGCGUGCGUAGGCGGUUUGUUAAGUCCGUUGUGAAAGCCCUGGGCUCAACCUGGGAAUUGCAGUGGAUACUGGCGAGCUAGAGUGCGGUAGAGGAUGGUGGAAUUCCCGGUGUAGCGGUGAAAUGCGUAGAGAUCGGGAGGAACACCCGUGGCGAAGGCGGCCAUCUGGACCAGCACUGACGCUGAGGCACGAAAGCGUGGGGAGCAAACAGG